rnacentral:rRNA from 1 species
AGAACUUAGCAGAGAUGCUUUGGUGCCUUCGGGAACUCUGAGACAGGUGCUGCAUGGCUGUCGUCAGCUCGUGUUGUGAAAUGUUGGGUUAAGUCCCGCAACGAGCGCAACCCUUAUCCUUUGUUGCCAGCGGCUCGGCCGGGAACUCAAAGGAGACUGCCGGUGAUAAACCGGAGGAAGGUGGGGAUGACGUCAAGUCAUCAUGGCCCUUACGGCCAGGGCUACACACGUGCUACAAUGGCGCAUACAAAGAGAAGCGACCUCGCGAGAGCAAGCGGACCUCAUAAAGUGCGUCGUAGUCCGGAUUGGAGUCUGCAACUCGACUCCAUGAAGUCGGAAUCGCUAGUAAUCGUAGAUCAGAAUGCUACGGUGAAUACGUUCCCGGGCCUUGUGCACACCGCCCGUCACACCAUGGGAGUGGGUUGCAAAAGAAGUAGGUAGCUUAACCUUCGGGAGGGCGCUUACCACUUUGUGAUUCAUGACUGGGGUGAAGUCGUAACAAGGUAGGCGUAGCGAG